ACUUUAUAAAUUAAAAAUAAGUUCAUGAUUUAUAUUUUUAAAGAAAAUUAUUUUUACUUUUAUUUCGUUGGGGCGACGAGAGUAUAAACCUAACUGCUCUUUCUUUAUACAACUAUACUUGAGCUUAAUGACCCUUUUUUAAGAUCUAAAGAAAAAGUU
rnacentral:rRNA from 1 species